UACGGAGGGGGCAAGCGUUAUUCGGAAUUAUUGGGCGUAAAGGGCGCGUAGGCGGCUAGAUGUGUCAAAGGUGAAAUCCCUCGGCUCAACUGAGGAACUGCCUUUGAAACUGUCUGGCUUGAAUCCGGGAGAGGGAUGCGGAAUUCCAGGUGUAGCGGUGAAAUGUGUAGAUAUCUGGAGGAACACCGGUGGCGAAGGCGGCAUCCUGGACCGGUAUUGACGCUGAGGAGCGAAAGCCAGGGGAGCAAACGGG
rnacentral:rRNA from 1 species